AAAAUCCCAAGAGUGAUUACCUGGAGGCCAGCGUUUGCACGUCCUACACCGCCACCACUGCGACAUUUUGUAAGGAUUUUUCUUUCUCUCUAUCUUUCUCAUAUGCUUGUUGUCUGAAAAUAUUUGUGAGAGUUGAGGGAGUUCGAUUCACUGAGUUGGAGAGCGUGAGAGGGUUUUGUUGAUGUCAUAAGAAGGAUGAGUUUCGAGUGCGUGAGAUUGCCAUGGUUGGGGAAGGUUGAGUUCGUAAGGUGAGAGAGAUGAGAAGAAGACGAGUUUCUGUUUUGCUUUUUUUUUCGUUUCCAUUUUUCUGUUUUCUUUUUUUUAAUUUUUUAAUUUUUUUAAUUUGUUUUUUAACAGAGAUAAAAAAAAACAUAAAAAUGUUUAUAUGUUAUUUAUCUUUUUGUUUUAGCCGGUUCAUAUAUUUAAGGUAGUAUUUCAGUAGCAUAUGAUCUUGAGUGGUCUGGUGGAGAGGAGUGAUUUCAUGGUCUUGAGUGGGGUGGGUUUAAUACCCGGGUUUGUUGCUUUGGUUUUCCAACAUUUUUUGAUCUUUCCAUAUUUUUCUAGCCUUACCAUUUAACUAACAUGUUUCUAUCAUUUAUUCAUUUUUAUUGUUUUAUUUUUAAUAUGACUUAUGUGAUUAUUCAUUUUUUUUAGGAUCUAUGUGAAUUAUUAUAUUUGUGUUUGUUCAUUUCAUUUGUACAAAUUAUUUGCCUUUAUGUGUGGGUUAUGUUACAAUCCUGAUAAAUCAUCACAAUCUCAUUGAUAAAAAAACCAUUCAAAACCAUUUUAAAAUUAAAAAUCAUAUUUUCUCGAUUCAAUGUCGAGCCCAUUUUCACACCCUUGUAAGUCGAUUGCUUUUUAAGCAUCGCCAUCAACCUCACAUAGCUUACUCUUGGGCUUCCUUACAAUGAGACAUGUCCCUUGCACUUACACUCAUACAUUGUUUAAUGCUUCAUUAUUUCAUUCUUUGAUUAUUUGAUUCGAUUAUAUACUUGUUUAUAUCUUACUUGUUUGAUUAACUGUGGCCUACUUGUAUGGUGUAUGAGGCAUGUAUUAUUAUUGUUUGUUUGCCAUG
rnacentral:lncRNA from 1 species